CAGCAGCCUGGUCGGGGCACCGCGGGCCCCGGUCCAGCCGGGGGCGGUCGCUGGUUCGGUUUCGGUUGUCGCUGU
rnacentral:tRNA from 1 species